rnacentral:rRNA from 1 species
AGCAGCCGCGGUAAUUCCAGCUCCAAUAGCGUAUAUUAAAGUUGUUGCAGUUAAAAAGCUCGUAGUUGAAUUUCGGGAUCAAAUUGUUGGUCGUGCUUCGGUACGCACUGGCAUUAUUGGUUCCUACCUUCUGAAGAACCGCGAUGUCAUUAAUUUGGUGUCGUGGGGAAUCAGGACUGUUACUUUGAAAAAUUAGAGUGUUUAAAGCAGGCUUACGCUUGAAUACAUUAGCAUGGAAUAAUGAAAUAGGACGUUUGAUUCUAUUUUGUUGGUUUCUAGGAUCGACGUAAUGAUUAAUAGGGAUAGUUGGGGGCAUUAGUAUUCAAUUGUCAGAGGUGAAAUUCUUGGAUUUAUUGAAGACUAACUACUGCGAAAGCAUUUGCCAAGGAUGUUUUCAUUAAUCAAGAACGAAAGUUAGGGGAUCGAAGACGAUCAGAUACCGUCGUAGUCUUAACCAUAAACUAUGCCGACUAGG